rnacentral:rRNA from 1 species
GACAGAGGGUGCAAACGUUGUUCGGAAUUACUGGGCGUAAAGCGUGCGCAGGCGGCCUUGCAAGUCGGGCGUGAAAUCCCACGGCUCAACCGUGGAAGUGCACUCGAAACUGCUUGGCUAGAGUCUUGGAGAGGAAGGCGGAAUGCUUGGUGUAGAGGUGAAAUUCGUAGAUAUCAAGCGGAAACACCGGUGGCGAAGGCGGCCUCUGGACAAUGACUGACGGCUAAAACACGAAAGCGUGGGGAGCAAACAGG